AACGCUGGCGGCGUGCCUAAUACAUGCAAGUCGAGCGGUAAGGCUCCUUCGGGAGUACACGANCGGCGGACGGCAGAGUAACGCGUAGGAACGUACCCCAAACUGAGGGAUAAGCACCAGAAAUGGUGUCUAAUACCGCAUGUGCUCCUCGGAGUAAAGCUUCGGCGGUUUGGGAACGGCCUGCGUAUGAUUAGCUUGUUGGUAAGGUAAAAGCUUACCAAGGCGACGAUCAUUAGCUGGUCUGAGAGGAUGAUCAGCCUGACUGGGACUGAGAACGGCCCAGACUCCUACGGGAGGCAGCAGUAGGGAAUUUUCCACAAUGGGCGAAAGCCUGAUGGAGCAACGCCGCGUGCAGGAUGAAUGCCUUCGGGUUGUAAACUGCUUUUAUAUGUGAAGAUUAUGACGGUAGCAUAUGAAUAAGGAUCGGCUAACUCCGUGCCAGCAGCCGCGGUCAUACGGAGGAUCCAAGCGUUAUCC
rnacentral:rRNA from 1 species